rfam:Ictidomys tridecemlineatus contig071612, whole genome shotgun sequence.
GGGGUUGUGGCUCAGUGGUAGAGCUCUCACCUAGCAUGUGUGAGGUACUGGGCUCAAUCCUCAGCACCA